AAUAAUCUGUGAAGUGUGAACAAAUCUUUAGGGUGAAUAGUUGAUAGAUGAGUAAUUUAUUGUGCCAUUUGUGGGAGAUUAUUUGUAAGUUUAAUGUAGAUAGUUAUCGAGUGCUCUAAUUUUGAUUUGACUGUAAGUGUAGAGCUAAUAUGUUUUCAGAAUCAUAAAAAAAUUGGUAGCUCAAACUUUUUAACCCUUAGAUAAAGAAUUGUAUAGGGGAGAUAAUAGUGACUUCUCUAAACUUUGGUGAUGCCCCCUAGUAGGGGAUUAAUAUUAAUCCAAGAACUAAAAAUGAUCAAAGAAUUGAUCCAAGGGUUAAAAAAAUUAGAAACAUCAACUCUUUUAUACUUUUGAAAGCACCAUAAUCGGACUCCUAACUGUAA
rnacentral:lncRNA from 1 species